AUUGAACGCUGGCGGCAUGCUUUACACAUGCAAGUCGAACGGCAGCGCGGGCUUCGGCCUGGCGGCGAGUGGCGAACGGGUGAUUAAUGCAUCGGAACGUGCCCAGUAGUGGGGGAUAGCCCGGCGAAAGCCGGAUUAAUACCGCAUACGACCUGAGGGUGAAAGCGGGGGACCGAAAUGCCUCGCGCUAUUGGAGCUGCCGAUGUCGGAUUAGCUAGUUGGUGGGGUGAAGGCUUACCAAGGCUACGAUCCGUAGCCGGUCUGAGAGGACGACCAGCCACACUGGGACUGAGACACGGCCCAGACUCCUACGGGAGGCAGCAGUGGGGAAUUUUGGACAACGGGGGCAACCCUGAUCCAGCCAUGCCGCGUGCGGGGAGAAGGCCUUCGGGUUGUAAACCGCUUUUGUUCGGGAAGAAAUCCUCUGGGCUAAUACCCCGGGAGGAUGACGGUACCGGAAGAAUAAGCACCGGCUAACUACGUG
rnacentral:rRNA from 1 species